rnacentral:misc_RNA from 1 species
GGCUGGAUCACCUCCUUUCUAAGGAAGAUUGGAAGCAAUUCCGGUCUUUACUUAACACUCUACGGAGCUGCGGUUCUCAAGCCGUGGUCGCUGCCGCUGUCGUAUCCCUUUCCUUUGAUGGUACUUGGCGAGACGGAGUUUGGUCGAAAGACCAGGCGUUCCGUCGCUUCGUCUGCCCGAAACGGGCUAGUAGCUCAGCUGGUUAGAGCGCGCGCUUGAUAAGCGUGAGGUCGGAGGUUCAAAUCCUCCCUGGCCCACCAAGUCGCGCGAUCGGCUCUUCCUUCGGGUAACAGCCGGUUCGCGCCGGAGGACGAAGCGCAGAUCGCGCCGACCGAAAGCUCAAACGGGGGCAUAGCUCAGUUGGGAGAGCGCCUGCUUUGCAAGCAGGAGGUCGUCGGUUCGAUCCCGUCUGCCUCCACCAUCGCAUAGAACAAAGCGCCGUAUGCCGGCGCAGGUAUCGUUCUUUGACAUCGUUCAUCGGAAGAGAAGAGGUCUUAAAGUCUAGAUCCUCGCUCUGUCGCCUAGGCAGAGUGGAAGGAUUGGGUAAGAAGGCCGUUUCGUGGGUGGGGGUCGUCCCCUGCACGGAACGAGCCGAUAUGAUGAUCGCAAGAUCGUCAUUUCGCUGACAAAACGUGAGAUCAAGCACAAUAAGGGCGUUUGGCGGAUGCCUUGGCACUGAGAGGCGAUGAAGGACGUGGCAGGCUGCGAUAAGCUUCGGGGAGUUGCCAGCACACUUUGAUC